rnacentral:misc_RNA from 1 species
CUGUAAAUAAAUUGAUGUGAUUUAAACUUCAAGGAAUCUUUAUUGAUUUUUAUGUUAUAUAUUAUAUUUAAAGGCUAGCUAAAAUUAAUGAAAAGAAAAAAGUUCAUUCUUAAUACUCAGUUUGGAUGGUAAUCUUUAAUGUGUCCUUUCAGUUCUUCCACAUUAUGUCAUAGCAUAUAAAGGUUGAAACACUAAUAAACCUCACUUUAGCAAUUCUUCACUUAUAGAUUUUUCUAUUAAAGACCCAUGGAUAAUAUCCCAUACUGGAGUUUAUAAUACAAUCCUAGUAGGAAUAAUUAAUGCCAAACAAUUGAAAAUGGUAAAAGUAGAUAAGUUACAUACAAGAAUAACCAGUUUAGGUGACAAGCAAAACAAUAUUUCUUUCAAUUUUGGUUCCUUGAUUCCUUUGAAAAAAAAUUCUUUAAAAGGGAAAAGUAAAUUAGAAGAGAGGUGUGGCUACUCACAAAACUCAUCAAUCCUUAUAUAUCACGUUAUGGAAAAACUUAUCUACGCCUGUUCCAUCAUAGAACCAAGACAUAAAUGUGUGAUCUUAUCAUACAUAUUAUGUCUUGUUUCCACAGUGGAUCGAGUCUAGUCCAAAAUUUCCCGUUACAUUAUAAAUGCAAACUAAGAAGCUCUUAUCAUUUUACCAAACAAUUAAUUAACAUUCCCUAAACAAGGAAAAUUUUAAGACACAAUAAAAAGGUGCAACUACAAAUAAUCUUCUAAAGCAACAUCCACAGGAACCUCAUAUCCAAAAACCAUGGAGUAAUCAUCCAAUUCAUCAGAGGUGAACUUUGGCAUCCUCCAGCUUCUUGCAAGUUCAGAGUCAUGGCCAAUGGUUAGAAGCUCUAACACCUAAAUAAGAUAAGAGAGAUUAUUUUUCCCCAUUUUAUGAUAUAUAUAAGAUGAAUUUUUCUUUCUUAGACCCGUUUCCACUAUAGACUCAAGAUACAAGAUAUGUAGUAAGACUCAUUUCUUAAAUACAUAGUUCUCAUAUAUUUAUGUUUUAAAUCCAUGGUGGGCUGGAUUUAAGUAUAAAUAUCUCAAGAAUAAUAAAUAAGCUAUGUACCAAUGAGCUGAACUCAACGUUUUAUAUUAUAAAAAUGAGCAAAAACACUUGCCUCACUCAUUGAUGGACGCCAUACCGAGGACUGUCUCACACAAUAUGAAGCCGUUAGCACUACUCUGUACAUUUGGUCUUCAUCAAAUUUGCCUUCUAGUUUUGGAUCAGCUAGUUCACUGAUCUUUCCAGAUUCCAUUAGAGGCUUUGCCUACGCAUAGUAACAAGUCAUUUUAGUGUAUAUAAAAUCCAUUUUUAACUUGUACCUUACAACAAAUAUAUAAUUAAUGGUUGCAUACCCAUAAGAGAAGGUUUUGCUUGGAUGAAUCCACAGGCCUUCGGCCAGAUAUAAUCUCCAAAAGUAGAACUCCAAAUGCAAAAACAUCAGUUUUCUCAUCCACGAUUCCAUGCAUGAAGUACUCUGGUGCCAAGUAUCCAAAUGUACCUUCAAUUGGAAUCACAGCAUGGUGAGUCCACUUGUUAGGAAGCCACUUUGCCAACCCGAAAUCCGUGAUCUGUGGUUCAUAAUCGGGUCCAAGAAGAACAUUAGAGGCUUUUAUGUCACGGUGUAUUAUUCGGUGCUUGCAGCAUUUAUGGAGAUAGUGUAGACCUCUAGCCACUCCAAGGACAAUCUUGAAUCUCACUGCCCAUUCUAAGGACAGGCUUGUUUUACCAUGCAAUGCAGAUGCCAAAUUUCCAUUUUGAAAGAAAUUGAAAAUGAGAUAGAGUCCAUUUUCAAUGCAGCAGCCAACUAAAUUUGCAGUAUUGGGAUGGCAGACAUGAACAAUAAUACCCAAUUCUAUGAGGAACUCUUUCUCCUUUGUAGCAUCCUUGUUGUCCUCAGUCAAUCUCUUCACUGCAAUUCUUCUCCCAUCUGAAAGGUCACCUCUAUACACCUCUGAGUACCCUCCUCUGCCUACUAUAUUUUCUGUGUGGAAGUUAUUUGUGGCGUUGGCAAUCUCUCCAUAUGUGAAGCACUUAAGCAACGGCUGUUGCUUCUCUUUGUUGGAAAAACUGCCCCGUCUUUUUCUCAACGGUGACGUAAAGAUUGAGGAGAUAAUUUUGCAUGCAGACAUUUGCUUUCUUAUUUUCGAUUCGCUUUUGAACUUGGAAGGCAGUGAAGGUGACUCAGUAGUAAUGCUUGAGCCUUCAAAGCUGAUGGUAUCAUCUUCUGUGCUAUGAGAUUCUCCAUCAAGUUCAUCUAUUACAGAUCUCGGUGAAGAUUUUUGACUCUUCACUUUUGAUUCAACAGGGGAGGUAGUAGCCCUGCCACUUCGAUUGCACAACCACCUGGAACUUGAUUCAGUUUCUUUUGAAUCAGAAUUUUGCAGACGCUGUACACAUUUUCCAAUUGAAAUCACCGUACAGCCUUCUGGGGCAUGCUUAAAACAGUACCUUAUAACUUCAUGCCAAGUUCUGUUUGAUCGGCUUCUCAAGCCACGAAUAAGAAGAUAGUCAGCUGAAAUGGAUUUUGCUUCCUGAAUUAGCCCUUUAGAGAUGCUAGAGCUAAAGCCUACUCUAGCCUCCAAAUUUAUCUGCUGAGAUUGGCAGGUCCUGGCAAAUUCUCCAAGCACAGAAAUAACAUGUGCUUUUGCUUGGCGAAUCUGCGAACGUUUCCUCUUUAUCAGUUCGCGCUGCUUCUUUGUCUCCUCACCAACAAUAACAUGAAUGGCAACAAUGUCGUCAUUGGGACGAGCAAGAACUGAGAUUGCCCAUGAGAGAAGCUCUUUACUAUCAUCUGGGUCUAAAGGGAUGGCCAUCAGUAUUUUGGCAGGAGCUGAAACAGGGAUCAUUUUAUCUGCAACCAAAUGGCCGACCAGCUUUAAAUUCUUUGUCGAUGAGUUGAGACAAGGAAUCUCCCUUAUGUUAUUUUGCUUUUUAUGAGGCUUCUAUUAUAAAUCUGAAGCACUGAAACUCAUGAGCUUAAUAAUAAAGUGCAAGGGAACAACAGAAUGAUUAAGGUCAGUAGAGAGUGAAGGCCACAUUUAGCUCUCUCUCUCACACACACAUUCUAUUAUUCUUGUUAAGGAAGCAUAGAAAGGCUUUUACAGUGGCAAUAGGCCAGAUCGAAGUGAUUAUAGAACUCUUUCUCUAAAGAAAAUGGGAGUAGAAUUAAGUGUUUAUGGUUGGGUGCUUUGGGGUAUAAGCAAAGGUGAUUGGCAUAUGCAUUUGAUAAGUCUUGCUAUCUAAGCCAAAAUUUCAAACUGGCUAUAACGAAGUAAUAAUUUGUUGGAUUUGGUAGGAAGGUCUAUUUGCCACUCAAAAAGAA